rnacentral:lncRNA from 1 species
UCUGAUAACAACUAAAGGCAAAAAAUAAACAAAUUCUUAAUCCAACUAUUCACCAAACGAAUCCUCGCAAAUUAAUUAUUCGUACCCGUAUGCCUAAAUAGUGUGUGACUCCAAGUUAAUGUCGCUAUUUUCACCGAACCACCUCUGCCAAUGUCGACCAACCGCCGAUGCCUGUGUCUCCAGAUCGUGUUAAUUACUUGUGUCCGUGUUGGGAUGUUAAACGAUGAUGGGUGCUGUUGAAUUCUGGAAUUGGAUGCGAAAUUUGAUUUUCAGAAAAUUGGGGGUAUUGGCCGUGUACGGUGAUGUGCUGUUGUGGUGAAGAACCAAGUUUCUUUUUUUCUUAAAGAAGCAAAGUCUGGUGCAAUCUUCAAUGCGGCCUUUUGUUGGCUAGG